CACACUUUCCAUGGUGCCAGCUGGUGCGAGUCAUUUCUAAUGUCUGUGCUGUUUUCUUGCUGCUCUAAUUUAAAAUUCAUCUGUGGUACAAACGGACUUUCUCUGAUUCUGCUGCACUCUGUUCUGCAAAAUUUCCCUCACCGUGGAGGAGAGGGGGGAAAAAAAACAACAAAAAAAAACCUUCCUGCAGAGCAAAUGCGGGCUGGAACCAGGACGUACGGAUGGGAGGAUUUGUAUUUGUGAGAUUUAUUGCCUCUAUGAUGACAGCUCUACAUCUCAGACUCCAUUUCCCUUUGCUGCAGCUGUGAUUUCAGUCACUCACUCUAAGGCACACUGAGAGCAAGCCCUGCAAACUGGGAGAGGAAGCUGGAAAUUGUGGGGUUUCUAGACAAGACGUUCGUCCACCUCGAACCCCCCCCCACAACACCCACUCAUACAGCUCUCCCCUCCACUAAAGAAGCUAGCACUGCCAUCAAAUGUAAAAGCCGUGUCGCCGUGCUCGGCUGUCACUCCAGACAUGAGCCGUAUGGGUAAGUGAGGGCAGGAUGUGAGUGUAUAAGGGGGGGGAAGUCAGUCCUGGUCCUCACUCUGCAGAUAUUCUCACCUUGUCAAAUACAUGUGUCAAAACGCAAAGAGUCUCUCACCCGGGGCCUCAUGAUCCUGUCCAUCAGGCGCACAGGGAGGCAGUGAGGAGAGCGAGGAGGGGGGAUCAAAGGCACUGAGGCAGCUUUAGCCCGGAGGUUCGCCGAGAAAAGAGGAUGGUGGUCGGUUUAAAUCCACAGGAGGGGGGGGGACUCAGAGUGGGAGGAGUCAAUCAGGCUUUAAGUGCUGUCAGAAAUGUGAGGAGCAGAGUACACCUGAAGGGCUCCGGAGGAAAAGUGGGAAAUGCUAAAUUGAAAGUCUGUAAGUCGUCAUUAAAUCUGAGCUGCCGAUACGUGACAAGAAGGUCGAGAAAAACAUGUCUGACAGGUGCUUUAUUUAAAGGUCUUAUCAGGAGCUUUUACCUAUUCAUGAACUGACUGGUAUCAAUUAUAAUGAAGAGGCAAACCAGGCCAUGAGCAGCCGGAUUGACUCCAUCCAUGAAGCUCAUUUUAAUGUCUGUGACUGUUUGACAGGCUACCAUAACAGUCUUGUUUUACAUUUUCUAAUGGUUCACUGUGAUGUUGACCUUUUACCAGGCGGCUUUUAGCUCCAUAUGGAAGUCAAAGACAAGUUUUCAAGUCAGAAUAAAAUCAGGAGAUGGCGACUCAAGUCUUCUUUAGUCUUUAGUCUUGUUUCAUGCAAACACUGUUGUUUUUUUAUUGUGAACAUUAUCAAGAAGAUGGGAUGUAAAAAAAGACAAAGCUAAGACAAAUCUGCGAAGUUGUUGUUUUCACAGAUCAACUAACAACCAGUCAGAGUCUUGCUGAUGUGUUUGGCGAUUGUUUUGGUAUCUGACACAACGGGUCAACCAGAGGACAGCCUGAGAGUGCUGCUUAUUUGUUUUAAUGGAUUUUUUUAGUCGUAUAUUUUAUCAUAUAUAUGGCUUUCUUGUGUACAAACAAUACUUCAGAGAAAGCCUGCUUCAGAGUGAACUGAUAUCAAUGAAGAUGAAGUAUUGUUUGCAAGUUCUCCCUGACACAAUUGCAGUAAAAUGUCAUUUUAUUGAAAAAUUGUCCAUGAAUUUCACUCACUUUACCAGGUUGUGACGUUGUUGUUUUAGAUGUUUCUAAUAUCAGGAGCAGGGUCGUAAUGUUUGCCGAUUGUUUGUUUUGCAGAUUCGUGCAGUUUACAGCACAACGGCUCCUCGUCAUUUUCUUUCUCCGUUGACUCCGCUAGUAAAUAAAUAAGAAAUGUCCCACUUUCUGCCCCAAGGCGAUGACGUUGCACAGAAACCCGUCUAAACUAGGGCUGGGCGAUAAAAUGAUAACGGUACAUAUCAAAAAUUAAUUUCCCUUGAUAUUGAUAUAAAACAUGGUCGAUAUGCUUUUUGAUAGUCGGCAUCCUGACAUGUUUUUGUAGACUUUACGAAUAGCCAAUGAAAAGUGGAGUUGCUCCGGGUCGCUUCACGCUGAACCAAUCAUGUGCUGAACUGGAACCAAGUAGCAAACAACGGGGUAGUAGCAGGAUGCAGCUACAUGCAACCAUAGCACUUCAACACUGGCAUGAAAACGUUGGUGGUGUGGAGGUAUUUUGGUUUCUUAAGGUCGGCAAAUUAUGUUGAGUACAUUUUCUUGUAAAGUCAGAGAAUACCUCAAAUCUUUGUCACCAACUGAAGCAGCGCCAUGCCGCAGAGCACGCGCAAUGCAAAAGCUUACAAACCCAGAGUGGAGUAAGGAGCCCAUAGUGCCUGUGCAGCCGAAAUUAGUUAGUAUUAGAAAUUAGUUUUUGUGAUAUAUAUCAAUAUCGACUGAUAUUAAAAAAAUAUAUAAUGAUAAACUUUUUCCCAUAUCGCCCAGCCCUAUCAUUUACCAUUAUUGUUGUUUUUCAGCUCAAAAGUUGUCGUCAAUUUCCAGUAGAAACUUCACUGUAGUCCGCGCAAGAUCCCCGGUCUUUACAAAAUCUUGGUCCAUGUCUAAAAAUUCUGACUUUUGAAGCAUUUUUAAAAACAUGAGUCGGGUUUUUUGGUGUGUGGAGGCAUAAAGCGAGAUGAAAACGUCGGUCACAAAAGGACAAGACCACCCGACAGAUCAAAUGGCCUGUCUUUGUCCACAGAGAAAACCAGCAGCAGGAAAUGUAUACGGCUCCAAUUUGAGGUAAAGCAUGUUCUUCAGAGCUGCAGUAAUUGUCAUGCAAAGUAGGGCUGCAUUGCUUGAAUCUGAAGCAAAACAUCAAAGACCGUGAAAACACUUUGAUUAAUAAUAAGUUUGCAUUUGUUAUUCUGUCCGACUAAAAACCUCUGAAGUGUGUGAAAAAUCAUAUUUGCACCUCAGAAACCGGAGCUUUCAUGGAGCUUAUGAAGGCAACAUCAAUUGUUUCUGCAACUUCUUCCUAAAUGGCCUUGAGCGUGAUUACCAGCACUAUUCAAUUACAGGUAUAUAUAUGUGUGUGUGUAUGCGUUUGUGUUUGUACUAACUUAGCUACCCUUUUGAGGACCAGCACUUGACAGCCCGCUUUUCCUUACGAGGACCGUUCGACUUAAAAAGAUAUUCUGGCUGUUUCUCGUGUUUCCACGCAGCCCGCCUCCCUGAGCUCCUGCUGCAAAUAAAAACACGCUCCUCUGCGACUCGCCGGGCCAAACAAGGCUUUAUAAAUGCCUGUGGUGUACUGGGCUGCAGUAAUAACCGCCCGAUCUAAUGUGUCUCCCUGAUGAAACGAGGUGUAUGAAAUGGACGUAUGUGAGAUUAGCAUGCUUGUUUUUAUUUUUUUAUUUUAUUUUUUUUGCAUGUCGUUAACUUGCGGGGCUAAACUUGUGCAUUAUAAAAAGACAGGGUGGGAAAACAAGCUUCUAUUUACUUCAGAUUUAAAUUAGCAUAUUUACUGCUCAGUCUUGUGAUGCUUCAGUGAUUAUCUGCCCGCACCGCUCUGAACAUUUUGCAAUCAUUACUCUAAUUAUGUGACCAGGUUCAUCUGCAUAUUAUUCUGCGUCUAAACGGUGGGCAGUAACUGAACGUGGCCUACUUUACCAUUUGGGACAUAGCAGGGUGUUUAUAUUGCGAGCGAUGGUGUACAUGUAACAGCUGGACAGUGGAGACACCUAUAAUCAUAAGCAUGGUUGGUAUGUUUAUUCUUCUGGCUUGAAUUCCUGUUGAUUAUGAGAGCUGUUGUAAUAGAGGCACAGUAGCCAUAACUACUGAGUACAUUAAACUGCAGGGGGGCCUUCGCAAGGCAAACUCGGCUCAGAUUUAUCAGCGGUGAGGGCCUUUGGAAACUAGAAGGAAGCCUUGUACUCUAAAAGCCUCAUUCCAGAGCUUUAAGUUCAGGGUGCUUUAGUCAGAGGUGCAAUUUUAUCUCCAAGAAUAAAAUGUGCAGUUUGCAAAUACCAGCCCCGUCGUACAGGCAACAGGUCGUAAGAGCUGUAAUUUAAGAGUAAUUUACCGCAAUUUUUAAGCGCACACGCAGGGCCGGGAGAUUUAGACUGCACAGUAGUUGGCAAAGUCGUGACAACCAGGUGAGAAAAGUAUGCCAGAUUCGCAACCACCUUGUACAGAACAGCUGAGAAGACUGCAAAUAGUACGCACAUUGCUAAAAAGGGUGUGUACAUAGCAAAUAUCCAAAAACUAGCAAAAAUGAGUCUGCAGACACAACUUUAAAACUAAUAAUAUUUCUGUAGCAGUGUAAAAAUUCAGCUUAUUUAUGAAGUUUAACUGACAACUUUUAUCUUAAACUGUGAGAGCGCCAAUUAAAAAUCUUUUGACACAUCAGUUUUGAAAUAAUUAGUUUAAAAGGGUUAAUAAAAGUGUUGUAACAUGUUUGUUUUUUGUAUUUUACCUCUAGAAAAGAUGUCUUAACUCUCAGGUACCACAGUCAGACCUGAUUCUGUAUCAGUCUGCACUGACAAAGAGCUGAUUGUGUUUUCUACAACAGUAAAUAUCAUCAUUUUUACUCCACAAUGAGGAGGCUGCAGAUGCUGAAAUUAAGCGAUGGAACAUUUGAAAAACGUUCAGAGAGGAAACACUUAACUUUGAUCGGGGAAAUUAUCGGACAUGAUUAGAUUUCCCAACAAUCAAGAGAUGUAACUCACGACUAAAGCAAAAACAAACAAGAACUUCAGACUAAAGUAAAAAGAUUCAGUUAUCUUCAGACAAUUUAUCUGAUUACAAAGAAACGACUGAUCCUGGAAAAACAGCAGAAUAAUUAUGGCGACAUCAGCCGUUUUUAACUCCAGCUAAUGAAGGUUUAGAUGUUGAUAAUAUCUGUUAGUGGAACUAAAUAACAGGUUUCUUUUUACAUUAUGAGAAUGGUGGAUUAAAGUUGUUUGAAGACGAUGUUUUCAACCCAAACUAAAAAGAUUAAGGUAGACUUGAGUCCUGUGGAAAAAACUACGUAUAUAGUUCAGUUUGUUGACAGUUUUUUGCCUCCUGUGUGAUAGAUCUCUGUGUCUACAGGUCAAGGUAGACAGGGCUGAAAUGCUUUUAAUGUGGCUGAGACCAAAGAGCAUUUCAGCAUCCAAAGACUGAGGUCUGGUCUAGAUGUUGGCCGGUCUUAGCUAAGAACCGGAGUUUACCUUACUGUUUAAAUGCUAAUAUAAGCAUGCCAGGCCAGCAGGUGGCGAUAAACACAAUAGGAUGUGUGAGAUGAUAUUAAAAAACAUCCAGAUUGACCUAAUGAAAGUAAUUCUACAUGUGUUGUUAAAGCAUGUGGAGACAUAGAUUAAGCAUUAGAUUAGAUUGUGCGUUUUAGUAUCUGCUCUUUAACUCUUUGAUUGCUCUCAUUUCUCACUUCAUUAUCGUCGUUCCAUUCAUUCAGAAAGCAGUCAUGUUAUUAAAAAAGACUGAUUAGACAUUAUUGGCUGAGUUUACUCAUUUUUAAUUUCCUAAAGUGUCGAAACUCUCGUGUUAUCGCAUAAACAAGGUCGGCAUGUCCUAUUAAGCAGAGGGACGUCGAAUCUGCUCUGUUUUCGGUCUCGGGUUAUAUUUAGUCGUAUUUUUGUACAUGAGAUAGAUUUGAGGUCUCAGAGGAGAAGUCGCUGACACUUUUCAGAUCAUGUGAUGACAUUUCGCUCAAACACAAAUAGCUUCCUAAUUAACAACUCCAAACACAA